UGAGGAAUAUUGGUCAAUGGACGAGAGUCUGAACCAGCCAAGUAGCGUGAAGGAUGACUGCCCUAUGGGUUGUAAACUUCUUUUAUAAGGGAAUAAAGUGAGGGACGUGUCCCUUUUUGUAUGUACCUUAUGAAUAAGGAUCGGCUAACUCCGUGCCAGCAGCCGCGGUAAUACGGAGGAUCCAAGCGUUAUCCGGAUUUAUUGGGUUUAAAGGGAGCGUAGGUUGACAUAUAAGUCAGCUGUGAAAGUU
rnacentral:rRNA from 1 species